GAGCCUGUAGCUCAGCUUGGUUAGAGCACCAGUCUUAUAAGCUGGGGGUCCACGGUUCAAAUCCGUGCAGGCUCA
rnacentral:tRNA from 1 species